UACGUAGGGACCAAGCGUUGUUCGGAUUUACUGGGCGUAAAGGGCGCGUAGGCGGCAAUUCAAGUCACUUGUGAAAUCUCCGAGCUUAACUCGGAACGGUCAAGUGAUACUGCUUUGCUAGAGUGCAGAAGGGGCAACCGGAAUUCUUGGUGUAGCGGUGAAAUGCGUAGAUAUCUGGAGGAACACCGGUGGCGAAGGCGGCGUCCUGGACCAACACUGACACUGAGGAGCGAAAGCCAGGGGAGCAAACGGG
rnacentral:rRNA from 1 species